UGGGGGAUAUUGCACAAUGGGCGAAAGCCUGAUGCAGCGACGCCGCGUGGGGGAUGAAGGCCUUCGGGUUGUAAACUUCUUUUGCUCUGAACAAGGCAUGCCUUUGGGGUGUGUUGAGUGUAGGGGUUGAUUAGCGCCGGCUAACUACGUGCCAGCAGCCGCGGUAAUACGUAGGGCGCGAGCGUUGUCCGGAAUUAUUGGGCGUAAAGGGCUUGUAGGUGGCUGGUUGCGUCUGUCGUGAAAGCUCAUGGCUUUACUGUGGGUUUGCGGUGGGUACGGGCUGGCUUGAGUGCAGUAGGGGAGGCUGGAAUUCCUGGUGUAGCGGUGGAAUGCGCAGAUAUCAGGAGGAAUACCGGUGGCGAAGGCGGGUCUCUGGGCUGUUACUGACGCUGAGGAGCGAAAGCGUGGGGAGCGAACAGG
rnacentral:rRNA from 1 species